UACGAGGGGGGCGGGCGUUGUUCGGAAUUAUUGGGCGUAAAGGGUGCGUAGGCGGUUUGGUAAGUCUGAUGUGAAAUCUAUGGGCUCAACUCAUAGUCUGCAUCGGAAACUGCCGGGCUUGAGUGUGGGAGAGGUGAGUGGAAUUCCUGGUGUAGCGGUGAAAUGCGUAGAUAUCAGGAGGAACACCUGUGGCGAAAGCGGCUCACUGGACCAUAACUGACGCUGAUGCACGAAAGCUAGGGGAGCAAACAGG
rnacentral:rRNA from 1 species